rnacentral:rRNA from 1 species
CCUACGGGUGGCUGCAGUGGGGAAUUUUGGACAAUGGGGGCAACCCUGAUCCAGCCAUGCCGCGUGCGGGAAGAAGGCCUUCGGGUUGUAAACCGCUUUUGUCAGGGAAGAAAUCUUCCGAGCUAAUACCUUGGGAGGAUGACGGUACCUGAAGAAUAAGAACCGGCUAACUACGUGCCAGCAGCCGCGGUAAUACGUAGGGUGCAAGCGUUAAUCGGAAUUACUGGGCGUGGUGCGGGAACAGGGGGGUGAAAUCCCCGGGCUUAACCUGGGAACUGCACGUGUGACUGUACGGCUGGAGUACGGCAGAUGGGGAUGGAAUUCCGCGUGUAGCAGUGAAAUGCGUAGAUAUGCGGAGGAACACCGAUGGCGAAGGCAGUCCCCUGGGCCUGUACUGACGCUCAUGCACGAAAGCGUGGGGAGCAAACAGGAUUAGAUACCCGAGUAGUC